GUUGACCUCGGAUCAGGGUAG
rnacentral:rRNA from 1 species